CUCGCCCGAGUUCGAGGAACGGAAAUUUGUCAGAUUUCAGGUUGAGGCGAGU
rnacentral:tRNA from 1 species